UACAGAGGUCUCAAGCGUUGUUCGGAUUCAUUGGGCGUAAAGGGUGCGUAGGCGGCGCGGUAAGUCGGGUGUGAAAUCUCGGGGCUUAACUCCGAAACUGCAUUCGAUACUGCCGUGCUUGAGGACUGGAGAGGAGACUGGAAUUUACGGUGUAGCAGUGAAAUGCGUAGAUAUCGUAAGGAAGACCAGCGGCGAAGGCGAGUUCCUGGACAGUUACUGACGCUGAGGCACGAAGGCCAGGGGAGCAAACGGG
rnacentral:rRNA from 1 species